rnacentral:lncRNA from 1 species
GGAGCGGAAGAGCCGAACGACAUUUCGGGUAGUUUCGAAGGGGGGCUUUAAAGGUCCCUAAGAAGACGGACAGGAUGGGGGACGAGAGGCCACAGGAAACUAACUCAGAGGGAUGCAAAAAAUAAUGACAGAGAAGAAGUCCCUAGGCGGUGGGAAGAAGGUUGAAGGUGCUGGAACUAACCUAUAUCGCUCUGAGGGACCAGAGGGACGAAGACAAGGACGAUUUGGAAGACACCUACGGCUCGAGAAGAUGCCCACUGAAACAGGGCUCUCGAAGAGAAGGCAGACACUGAUAGAAACUCUGGAACAGAAUAGGGCACCUAAAGGUGGGAGGACGGAUUUAAAUAGACCCUGGGAUCCGGCGCCAUAAUGAUCACGAAUCCCCCCAAGCCAAUCCACACCCGGCACGUGUCCCACUCCCCCCGAUGGGCGGCUAAAAGCGGCUGAUGGAUCAGCAGGGCCAUUAUGGCACCGUACCUGAGCCAAUGUACCGGCGAGAAUUUUGAAGGGUCCCUUCGUAUCGCCCCGAUCCGAAAAGACUCUAGCACGUGCACAUUUAAUGCCAAAAUAUCUGGGGGCGGC